CUUCGUUGCCUCGCCUCAUUAAAAAAAUUGAUAAUUAAAGAUUGCCCCAUCUUAAAGCAAAGAUGCCAGAAAGAAACAGGUGAGGACUGGUCCAAGAUUGCUCACAUCCCAGAGAUACACAUUGUGUAGCGAGAUGGCUGGGUGGAGAGAGUAGUGCUUUGUCAUCUUGGAAUUGAAGAUGUCAGACAGUGACACUAGGUUCUACUCUGUAUCAAUUGGAAAUUGAGUAUUCCUUUAGUUUGGCAUUACCUUCCAGAAGAGACAGACAACCUCACAUAACUUCAAUGGCUUUCAAUUCAGAGUUCAGCAUCACUGCUUGAACAGAUGCGACGCCUCACCGUUUUAAGCCAGUUCGAAAUUGGAUACUAUUCCUUUCUACAGAAAAGCA